UAUUUUUUGUCUUUUUGCCAUUUCUUGGACCGCUCCCGCAGCAUAUGGAGGUUCCCAGGCUACGGGUCUAAUCAGAGCUAUAGCCGCCAGCCUACGCCAGAGCCACAGCAACUCGGGAACCCAGCCGAGUCUGCAACCCACACCACAGCUCACGGCAACGCCGAAUCCUUAACCCACUGAUCAAGGCCAGGGAUCAAACCCACAACCUCACGGUUCCUAGUCAGAUUCAUUAACCACUGCACCACGACAGGAACUCCCUGUAGUGUUUACUUUUCCUGGUGGAAUGAAACUUGAAAAUAAGUUUAACUUUCACUUAAAACAUAAAGACAGAAGAGAAAAACCGUUUGAGCCGAUGUGUUUGUGGUGCUCAAAUACUUUGUAACUGUCCACACGGACAAUGGAAAGUUCAAAUGCAAGUUAAAUUAAUGGCUAUAAAUCUAAGUAAAUGAAUGGGUCUGAGCAAAUAAGUAAUUUAAGGAUUGAAGCUGGUCUCCUUUCCCUGGCCCCCCUUCCUUUAAUGGAACAAGUGGGCUUUCCUCUGUUUGAAAAAAAAAAAAUACCUACAAUGACUCUGUCACUUUGGUGUCCAUGAAUUGGCCUCUACAUGUGCUGCUGGCCUCUACCCUCUGACUCUCAGCAUGGUUCCUGCCCUCUUAUCCUUCCCCUGUUGGCUAUAUCCUAUUCUGUACUUAGGUGUUUCUUUAACUAUUUUUUGACUCCCACUGAGCCUAGAGCACAAGGAGAGCAGACACAAUGAGUCCUUAGCUCACCAAGGUACACCCUGCCUGGCAAAUAGCAGGUGCUUAUAACACAUUAGCUGUAUAAGGGCAUAGGUUGCUUCUGAUCCUUAUUUACCUCCUGUGAGGUCCCUUGAAUAGAAUCACUGAUUAAUUCAAUCCCAGUCAGGGAACGUACUAAGAUACUCCCAGAAACCAUAUGCCCUGGUGAGAAUCUGGUCCCAAGUGCCCGGGGAAAGCUCAGUCCAGCCUCAUUGCGUGGUCACCUACUGGGCCCCACAGCAAGAGGACCACAGCUCACACGGAACCAACACGCUCAGGUUCCUGAAUACGGGAUACCUGGUCCAUGGGCUGUGUGCCCUGAGAGUGGUGGUGAAGCAAGAAGGAGCAGUGUGUCUUCAUGGUAAAGAGCUUGGGAAAGACCUACGCCUGCUUCCUAAUUAGCGAGUGAGGCUGCUUAUAGCCACAGCAGGAGCUUAUUCCAGCCUGUGAUCAGGGAAAGCCCUUGGCCAAGGUCAACCCGACAGUGGGCUCUGAAAAUACAAAGAAGGCAGCAGAGAAGUGUUGGGGACAGGGCUCUAGACAGUGGGAGGGCCUGGAGGUCCUCCAUGGCAGAAGGGGAAACCUCAGGGGUUUGGUUUUACUACUGGAAAAAAAAUAGCAGGAAGUGGGGCUGGAUGGGAAAGGCUGGCAAGAGAGUCAUCCUGAGGCAGGGGUGACCUUCCGAGAGGGGAAGAAAGUGUGGAGGAGAAAGAAGGGGUACAGGUGGAAUGCGCGUGUCCCAAAGCGGGCUGCUAUCCACAUGUGUUCAGGCUGUCAACCUUCCCUGAGAUUUCUGCUCAUAGUACAUCCCCUUUCUAUACCACCUUUCAGUAGAAUGUUUAAAAAGAAAGAAAGAUAAAACGUGGUCCUGGAAGCCUCUGGAUCCCUAUGAAGGACCAGGAAGGAGUAGCAGGUGGAUCCCUAUAGGACCAGGGAGUAGCAGUAUGUGGAUCCCUAUGAAGGACCAGGAAGGAGUAGCAGGUGGAUCCCUAUGAAGGACCAACAAGGGGUAGCAGGUGGAUCCCUAUGAAGGACCAACAAGGGGUAGCAGGUGGAUCCCUAUGAAGGACCAGCAAGGAAUAGCAGGUGGAUCCCUAUGAAGGACCAACAAGGGGUAGCAGGUGGAUCCCUAUGAAGGACCAGCAAGGGGUAGCAGGUGGAUCCCUAUGAAGGACCAACAAGGGGUAGCAGAUGGAUCCCUAUGAAGGACCAGCAAGGGGAAGCAGGUGGAUCCCUAGGAAGGACCAGCAAGGGGAAGGAAGUGGAUCCCUAGGAAGGACCAGCAAGGGGAAGCAGGUGGAUCCCUAUGAAAGACCAGCAAGGGGAAGCCCAUAAUCAGGUCUGCACUGCAACGACCCUUCAAUGGGAGGAUGGAGAAUGCAGUGGCAAGGGGCCAGGAAAGCAUGCACUCAUUCCUGAGCCAGGAGAAGAAUGAACAAAGGCUUGGAGGGCUGAGUGUCAGUGGUGGUAGGAAGGACGGGAGGAUGGAAGAGGCAGAGAUGCUGGGGGCUGUGGGCACAGAGGGAGGAGUGGAAGGACUCUCAUGACACUGGCAGGCCUGGGGCCUGGAGCGAGGAGGGUUCUUCCCUGCUCCUGGAAUUCAUCCUGCCACGUCCAUCAGACACAGGACAGACAGACCCUCUGCCAGUUGGCCCAGGCUGGAAAACAUCACAUACUAUGGAUUUGACCACGACCAGGAUGGAGAACUCAAGAAUAAAUCUCCCUCUUCGUGAGAGUGAUGGCACCCUUUUCCCUCAGCAUAAUCCUGCUUAUGUUUGUGGUCCUAGAGUAAUUAACAAAAUGUCCCCAUGUGGAUGGUUAGCAACACACAGCUGUGAAGACGCACACACACGCACACACGUCCUUGCGUAUUCCUCUAAGUAUCGCUAACACAGACCACUCCAGCAUCACUGUGCUUAGGGACCCACCUGCUAUCACACACCUUUUCUCUCAAGACCACCCAACUGUGAAAGUGAGGUUUGUAACUCAUAAUUUGAACACCGAUGUGCCUCCUCCUCUCAGGAUUUCUGCACGUUUCUCUAUGAAUGGCCAGGCAUGCAGGGACCCUCCCCCUCCCUGAGCUUAGGGAGGGGUUGAUUUGAAACACAGAGAGAUGCAGGGAGAAAACUGGGUGACGAGAAUUGGCUAAAUCCACAUAGUUUUUG
rnacentral:lncRNA from 1 species